rnacentral:rRNA from 1 species
AUUGAACGCUGGCGGCAGGCCUAGCACAUGCAAGUCGAGCGGAUGAGUGGAGCUUGCUCCAUGAUUCAGCGGCGGACGGGUGAGUAAUGCCUAGGAAUCUGCCUGGUAGUGGGGGACAACGUUUCGAAAGGAACGCUAAUACCGCAUACGUCCUACGGGAGAAAGGAGGGGACCUUCGGGCCUUUCGCUAUCAGAUGAGCCUAGGUCGGAUUAGCUAGUAGGUGAGGUAAUGGCUCACCUAGGCGACGAUCCGUAACUGGUCUGAGAGGAUGAUCAGUCACACUGGGACUGAGACACGGUCCAGACUCCUCCGGGAGGCAGCAGUGGGGAAUAUUGGACAAUGGGCGAAAGCCUGAUCCAGCCAUGCCGCGUGUGUGAAGAAGGUCUUCGGAUUGUAAAGCACUUUAAGUUGGGAGGAAGGGCAGUAAGCUAAUACCUUGCUGUUUUGACGUUACCGACAGAAUAAGCACCGGCUAACUCUGUGCCAGCCGCCGCAGUAAAAC